GCGGACGGGUGAGUAACACGUGGGCAACCUGCCCUGUAGACGGGGAUAACACCGAGAAAUCGGUGCUAAUACCGGAUAAUACGAAAGACCGCAUGGUCUUUCGUUGAAAGGCGGCGCAGGCUGUCGCUACAGGAUGGGCCCGCGGCGCAUUAGCUAGUUGGUGAGGUAACGGCUCACCAAGGCGACGAUGCGUAGCCGACCUGAGAGGGUGAUCGGCCACACUGGGACUGAGACACGGCCCAGACUCCUACGGGAGGCAGCAGUAGGGAAUCUUCCGCAAUGGACGAAAGUCUGACGGAGCAACGCCGCGUGAGCGAAGAAGGCCUUCGGGUCGUAAAGCUCUGUUGUUAGGGAAGAACAAGUACCGCAGUCACUGGCGGUACCUUGACGGUACCUAACGAGGAAGCCACGGCUAACUACGUGCCAGCAGCCGCGGUAAUACGUAGGUGGCAAGCGUUGUCCGGAAUUAUUGGGCGUAAAGCGCGCGCAGGCGGUUCCUUAAGUCUGAUGUGAAAGCCCACGGCUCAACCG
rnacentral:rRNA from 1 species